rnacentral:rRNA from 1 species
UACGUAGGGACCAAGCGUUGUUCGGAUUUACUGGGCGUAAAGGGCGCGUAGACGGCAAUUCAAGUCAGCCGUGAAAUCUCUGGGCUUAACCCAGAACGGCCAGCUGAUACUGCUUUGCUAGAGUGCAGAAGGGGCAAUCGGAAUUCUUGGUGUAGCGGUGAAAUGCGUAGAUAUCAAGAGGAACACCUGAGGUGAAGACGGGUUGCUGGGCUGACACUGACGCUGAGGCGCGAAAGCCAGGGGAGCAAACGGG